rnacentral:rRNA from 1 species
AACGAACGCUGGCGGCAUGCCUAACACAUGCAAGUCGAACGAGACCUUCGGGUCUAGUGGCGCACGGGUGCGUAACGCGUGGGAACCUGCCCUUAGGUUCGGAAUAGCUCCCCGAAAGGGGUGCUAAUACCGGAUAAUGUCUUCGGACCAAAGAUUUAUCGCCUUUGGAUGGGCCCGCGUUGGAUUAGCUAGUUGGUAGGGUAAAAGCCUACCAAGGCGACGAUCCAUAGCUGGUCUGAGAGGAUGAUCAGCCACACUGGGACUGAGAUACGGCCCAGACUCCUACGGGAGGCAGCAGUGGGGAAUAUUGGACAAUGGGCGAAAGCCUGAUCCAGCAAUGCCGCGUGAGUGAUGAAGGCCUUAGGGUUGUAAAGCUCUUUUACCCGGGAUGAUAAUGACAGUACCGGGAGAAUAAGCUCCGGCUAACUCCGUG